GGUGUUCUAGUUUUGUGAAUGUCUAGUUACUAAUGGUGCUAAGGAUGGUAUACAUUGGCAACUCCGAUUGGUAUCACGCUUCAAAGGUCCAUUCUUUACACCUUAGCAUCAUUUGGUAGAAAUUGACUCCUAUAUUUCCUAUUCAAGCAUAUGUGCAAGCUUUCAAAUCCAAACUCUUAGCACAUAUGUACGGGGAGCAAUUGCUACCAAUUUGGGUUUAUGAAAC
rnacentral:lncRNA from 1 species